GUGGGGAAUCUUGCGCAAUGGGCGAAAGCCUGACGCAGCCAUGCCGCGUGAAUGAUGAAGGUCUUAGGAUUGUAAAAUUCUUUCACCGGGGACGAUAAUGACGGUACCCGGAGAAGAAGCUCCGGCUAACUUCGUGCCAGCAGCCGCGGUAAUACGAAGGGGGCUAGCGUUGUUCGGAAUUACUGGGCGUAAAGGGCGCGUAGGCGGACAGCUUAGUCAGAGGUGAAAGCCCAGGGCUCAACCUUGGAAUUGCCUUUGAUACUGGCUGUCUUGAGUUUGGGAGAGGUGAGUGGAACUCCGAGUGUAGAGGUGAAAUUCGUAGAUAUUCGGAAGAACACCAGUGGCGAAGGCGACUCACUGGCCCGUUACUGACGCUGAGGCGCGAAAGCGUGGGGAGCAAACAGGAUUAGAUACCCUGGUAGUCC
rnacentral:rRNA from 1 species